AGCGACCUUGCCUCGUGGUGGGGGAUAGCCGGCCCAACGGCCGGGUAAUACCGCAUAUGGUAGUUCUUUCGCAUGGGAGAACUAGCAAAGCUGAGUCGUAAGACUUGGCGCCACAGGGGGGGCUCGCGGCCUAUCAGCUAGUUGGGGGGGUAAUGGCCCACCAAGGCGACGACGGGUAGCUGGUCUGAGAGGAUGGCCAGCCACAUUGGGACUGAGAGACGGCCCAG
rnacentral:rRNA from 1 species